ACUCAAAUGAAUUGACGGGGACCCGCACAAGUGGUGGAGCGUGUUCUUUAAUUCGAUGAUAAGCGAAGAACCUUACCAGGGCUUGACAUCCCGAGAAAUUCUGCGAAAGCAGAGUGUGCCUUUUGGAACUCGGUGACAGGUGCUGCAUGGCCGUCGUCAGCUCGUGUCGUGAGAUGUUUGGUUAAGUCCAUCAACGAGCGCAACCCUUAUGAAUAGUUGGAUUUUUCUAUUCAGACCGCCUCGGUAACGGGGAGGAAGGAGGGGAUGAUGUCAGGUCAUUAUUGCCCUUACGUCCUGGGCUAGAAACGCGCUACAAUGGCCGGUACAAAGGGCAGCCAACCCGCGAGGGGGAGCAAAUCCCAUCAAAACCGGUCCCAGUUCGGAUUGCAGGCUGAAACUCGCCUGCAUGAAGCCGGAAUCACUAGUAAUCGUAGGUCAGCACACUACGGUGAAUACGUUCCCGGGUCUUGUACACACCGCCCGU
rnacentral:rRNA from 1 species